CAGUAGCCGCGGUAAUACGGAGGGGGCUAGCGUUGUUCGGAAUUACUGGGCGUAAAGCGUGCGUAGGCGGUUUGUUAAGUCUGCUGUGAAAUCCCCGGGCUCAACCUGGGAAUGGCAGUGGAUACUGGCAAGCUAGAGUGUGUCAGAGGAUGGUGGAAUUCCCGGUGUAGCGGUGAAAUGCGUAGAGAUCGGGAGGAACAUCAGUGGCGAAGGCGGCCAUCUGGGACAACACUGACGCUGAGGCACGAAAGCGUGGGGAGCAAACAGGAUUAGAUACCCCAGUAGUCCCUGUCUCUUAUAC
rnacentral:rRNA from 1 species